rnacentral:rRNA from 1 species
GUGAGGAAUAUUGGUCAAUGGGCGGGAGCCUGAACCAGCCAAGUCGCGUGAAGGAAGAAGGAUCUAUGGUUAGUAAACUUCUUUUGCAGGGGAGUAAAGUGCAGGACGUGUCCUGUUUUGUAUGUACCCUGAGAAUAAGGAUCGGCUAACUCCGUGCCAGCAGCCGCGGUAAUACGGAGGAUCCGAGCGUUAUCCGGAUUUAUUGGGUUUAAAGGGCGCGUAGGUGGUUUGAUAAGUCAGCGGUGAAAGUUUGCAGCUUAACUGUAAAAAUGCCGUUGAAACUGUCGGACUUGAGUGUAAAUGAGGUAGGCGGAAUGCGUGGUGUAGCGGUGAAAUGCAUAGAUAUCACGCAGAACUCCGAUUGCGAAGGCAGCUUACUAAGCUACAACUGACACUGAAGCACGAAAGCGUGGGGAUCAAACAGGAUUAGAAACCCCGGUAGUCC